rnacentral:sRNA from 1 species
AACAUCAUUAAGAUGAAUCAUUCAAAUGGAUUAUUUGGAUGCAAAUUCCAAAUGAUCAAACAAACAGGGCCUAAAUCGUUGAUAAUAAUAUUUAUCUCGUAAUAA